CUGUUUUUUGUCCUUUUUCUGCAAACUUCACUUUAUUUUUUCAAUUUGACAUGCUUUGAGAACUUAUGUAUUUUUAGUUUCAUAGAUCCAUCAAUCCGACUAAAAUAUCAAAUAGGUUAUUUUUUCUUGAACACGUAUAGAACUGAAAAUAAGUACAGUCAAUACUUGAGCACUUUCCCAGUCCUCAUGAUCCCUAGGCUCCACCAGGCCUCCGAAAUUUUGUCUCUGGCACAUUCCUCAAGUGCUCGUAGUUCACGGAAUUUCUUGAAGACAAAAUAUUCUCAUGAAAUGCCAAAGUAAAAUAAGU
rnacentral:misc_RNA from 1 species